GCUAGCUGAAGCUUUGUUUCUCUCCCCAAAGAUCGGACAUCAGAAGUCAUCAAGGGCAGAUGUAAAAGGCGGUUCUCAGGAUGGACUCAAUGCAGAUGCUUUGCCAAAAGCCUGGGCAAAGACAUCGUUUUGGAGAGUAGGGACAGAGAAUAUAGAAGGUAACCUUCAUGGGUUGCUGAAGUGGAAGGAAUCUGUUACUUGAUGACUACCCUUCUGGUGAU